rnacentral:rRNA from 1 species
AGAGCGAACGCUGGCGGCAGGCCUAACACAUGCAAGUCGAGCGCCCGUAGCAAUACGGGAGCGGCAGACGGGAUAGUAACACGUGGGAACGCGCCCUUCGGUUCGGAAUAACUCAGGGAAACUUGAGCUAAUACCGAAUACGCCCUUACGGGGAAAGAUUUAUUGCCGAAGGAACGGCCCGCGUCCGAUUAGCUAGUUGGUGAGGUAAUGGCUCACCAAGGCUACGAUCGGUAGCUGAUCUGAGAGGAUGACCAGCAUCACUGGGACUGAGACACGGCCCAGACUCCUACGGGAGGCAGCAGUGGGGAAUAUUGGACAAUGGGCGCAAGCCUGAUCCAGCCAUGCCGCGUGGAUGAUGAAGGCCUUAGGGUUGUAAAGUCCUUUUAACGGGGAAGAUAAUGACGGUACCCGUAGAAUAAGCCCGGCUAACUUCGUGCCAGCAGCCGC